GAAGUAGCUCAGUGGUAGAGUGCUUGCCUAGCAUGCAUGAGGUCCUGGGUUCAAUCCCCAGUACUACA
rnacentral:tRNA from 1 species